ensembl:lncRNA
CAUCUGAGGACUUGGAACCUCCCUCUUGCCUCAUGCUGUUUUUUCUCUGGAACAAAUGACUGCAAUGUAACCGGCAGGGGAGGAGCCAAUCUUCCCAGUCCCCUUGUUCCUACCUUGAUUAAAGCAAAUGCUUUACAUGAGGAUGAUACCUGGCAAAGGCAGCCUUCUGUCCAGCCUCUCCUCUCACUGCCCUCCUCUGGUUCCAUUUUUCACCUAUAUUCCACUACCUGUGGAUGGACUUCUUGUCCUGCUGCUUACGGACUCUUUAUUUAGAAUCACAGGAACUUAGAAUCAUUAAGGUUGGAAAAAAACCUCCCAGAUCCCCAAGCCCAGCCCACCACCCCAUACCCACUGCCCACAUCUUUCAGUGCCACAUCUCCAUGGCUCUGGAACACCUUCAGGGACGGUGACCCCACCACUCCCUGGGCAUCACCAUGAUGCCACUGCAUCACCACUCCUGUAGAGAAGAAAUGUUUCCUAAAAUCCAACCUGAACUUCCCCUGGAGCAACUUGAAUCCAUCACUUCUCAUCUUCAAGUUGCUUUCUGCACAGUAUCACCCUAACCAAAUUAAAGGGACUGUAUUUCAUGCUCAUUCUCUUUGGUCUUCUUGCUGCCUUCGAACUCUGCCUUUCUGGAUUCUCCCUCUGCUCCUCUCCAUGACCCACGCUCUGCUGAGCAUCCCCCUUGUUCUUGCAGUCUUCUGUGACUCUUCCAUCACCCCCAGUGUCUCAGACCACAUCUUUUCUUUCUGCUGUUCUCAUCAUUUUCACGUUCCUUGCUGGCUGCUCAUCAUACACCUCUUGCACUGCUGUCCAGCCUUUUAAGUCCCACCGCUUCUCUGGCACUUUAUUAUUCCUCUGUCCGUGUGGUGAAACCUGAGCAUCUCUGUUACAGGUUGCCUUUCCCUUCCUCUUAGGUGCUCCCAGCCACGCGGUGAGUUUGGUUUAGUAGAGCCAAGCUGCGUUCUCCUCUCCACGUGAUGCAUGCAGCUGACAGGUUUGGCAGUUCUCGUGUUGCUUUUCCUUCCUGCAACUGAUGCGCUGUGAAGGAUGAACAUGGAAAUGUAAGCAGGGAGAACAGGAGGCUGGCAGCAUCCUGUCCUCUUCAGAGUGGAAGAGCUGCCUUGGGAAGGAGGAAUUGGACAGAAAUCUGCAAUAACUGGCAAAAUAAAUAAAUCUGAGCAUUAAGGCAGCAGCUAGCCAGCACUGCAUUUUACAUUUGAAGCUACGUCUACCCUGCACAGAGCACAAUAGCACAGAAAGAGUUGAAAUAGCUCUGCAUAAAUAUUGCAUGAAGCCUUAUGCACAAAUGUAUACGAAGCACGGAGCUACCUGCAAGAUCUGGCUGAAAAGCAUGAAGGAAAAUGUGGGCACUCUGUGGUCCCCUAUCUGGAGAGCUGCUGGUACCGGCCUGGGGAGGUAACUGGCAUUGCAACACAGCUCUCAGCACAAACAUGCUCAGAGGGUGCUGCGUGCCAAGCGCCGUGCAGGAGAUGAAGCCAUGGAGCAGGCUUUUAGGCUCUUUGUGACGACGCCCACCACCUACAGUGGAUGAAGCAGGUGCCUCGCACCCCACAACGUAUCCUGUGCUGCAGACAGCGUGGUAGCAGGAAGACAACCUCGUCUGAGAGCUCAGAGCCAGCACACCACAGCCACAGUCUGAGCAGCACAGGGUGAGCAUCUCACUACACCCAUGUCUGAGAGCUGCCCUAUGGCAGGCUACUGUGCUUCCAAACAAACCCCAUCUUGUGCGGGGCUCCCUGAGUGCUUCCUUCUCUCCCCUUCCAUUCCCCACCCCUCAGAACAAGCCCGGAAUGCAGUUUUUGUGCUAUUUGCACUGUAACAUUUUCCUUUUUUUUUUUUAUCUUCACCGUCUG